CAGCCGCCGCGGGAAUACGGAGGGUGCAAACGUUAAUCGGAAUUACUGGGCGUAAAGCGCACGCAGGCGGUCUGUCAAGUCAGAUGUGAAAUCCCCGGGCUUAACCUGGGAACUGCAUUUGAAACUGGCAGGCUAGAGUCUUGUAGAGGGGGGUAGAAUUCCAGGUGUAGCGGUGAAAUGCGUAGAGAUCUGGAGGAAUACCGGUGGCGAAGGCGGCCCCCUGGACAAAGACUGACGCUCAGGUGCGAAAGCGUGGGGAGCAAACAGGAUUAGAUACCCCAGUAGUCCCUGUCUCUUAUAC
rnacentral:rRNA from 1 species